rnacentral:rRNA from 1 species
AUUGAACGCUGGCGGCAGGCCUAACAAAUGCAAGUCGAGAGGAGCGGCGGACGGGUGAGUAAUGCCUAGGAAUCUGCCUGGUAGUUGGGGAUAACGUCCGGAAACGGGCGCUACUACCACAUACUAUCAGAUGAGCCUAGGUAGGAUUAGCUAGUUGGUGGGGUAAAGGCCUACCAAGUCGACGAUCCGUCACUGGUCUGAUAGGAGGAUCAGGCACACUGGAACUGAUACACGGUCCAGACUCAUACGGGAGGCAGUAGUGGGGAAUAUUGGUCAAUGGGCGAAAGCCUGAUCCAGCCAUGCCGCGUGUGUGAAGAAGGUCUUCGGAUUGUAAAGCACUUUAAGUUGGGAGGCGUUACCAACAGAAGAAGCACCGGCUAACUCCGUGCCAGCAGCCGCGGUAAUAC